rnacentral:tRNA from 1 species
GCGAGAGUGGCGGAAUUGGCAGACGCACCAGACUUAGAAUCUGGCGUAGAGAUACGUGUGAGUUCAAGUCUCACCUUUCGCACCA